rnacentral:rRNA from 1 species
CCUACGGGCGGCAGCAGUGGGGAAUAUUGCACAAUGGGGGAAACCCUGAUGCAGCGACGCCGCGUGAGUGAAGAAGUAUUUCGGUAUGUAAAGCUCUAUCAGCAGGAACGAGACAAGACGGUACCUGAAUAAGAAGCCCCGGCUAACUACGUGCCAGCAGCCGCGGUAAUACGUAGGGGGCAAGCGUUAUCCGGAAUCACUGGGUAUAAAGGGAGCGUAGACGGCUGAGCAAGCCUGAAGUGAAAGGCGGGGGCCCAACCCCCGGACUGCUUUGGGAACUGUACGGCUGGAGUGCAGGAGAGGUAAGUGGAAUUCCUAGUGUAGCGGUGAAAUGCGUAGAUAUUAGGAGGAACACCAGUGGCGAAGGCGGCUUACUGGACUGUAACUGACGUUGAGGCUCGAAAGCGUGGGGAGCAAACAGGAUUAGAUACCCGGGUAGUC